rnacentral:rRNA from 1 species
AUUGAACGCUGGCGGCAGGCCUAACACAUGCAAGUCGAGCGGAUGAAGGGAGCUUGCUCCUGGAUUCAGCGGCGGACGGGUGAGUAAUGCCUAGGAAUCUGCCUGGUAGUGGGGGAUAACGUCCGGAAACGGGCGCUAAUACCGCAUACGUCCUGAGGGAGAAAGUGGGGGAUCUUCGGACCUCACGCUAUCAGAUGAGCCUAGGUCGGAUUAGCUAGUUGGUGGGGUAAAGGCCUACCAAGGCGACGAUCCGUAACUGGUCUGAGAGGAUGAUCAGUCACACUGGAACUGAGACACGGUCCAGGCUCCUACGGGAGGCAGCAGUGGGGAAUAUUGGACAGUGGGCGAAAGCCUGGUCCAGCCAUGCCGCGUGUGUGAAGAAGGUCUUCGGAUUGUAAAGCACUUUAAGUUGGGAGGAAGGGCAGUAAGUUAAUACCUUGCUGUUUUGACGGUACCAACAGAAUAAGCACCGGCUAACUUCGUG